rnacentral:misc_RNA from 1 species
AAGAAUUUCAUUAUACAGAUCUGUAAAACCAACAAUCUUUAGAUCAACUGUAAGCUACAAAGUUACACAAAUUUAUACUCAUUGAAAAAUGUCAAUUCGCAUGCUUAUCACUAUCACCAAUGCUAAAAGAUUAAAAAAACUUUAUCAAUAAAGAUUUACAAACAUUACUCAAUACAAAUAUUAGCUAAUUACUUUCCCCCACUCCCCUUACCCUUUUCCCCUUCUCCCCCUGAGAUAGGGGAAGAAAGUCUGAAGAUGUUAAGCAAGACUAAAGUUGUACCAUGUAAGCUGUAACAAUCACCAUGAAACAAAACCCGAAAAUAGUACUUGUGCAUAGAUGAAAUUCGCACACCUGCUUUAAAAUACAUGUGCUGCUAGCAGAAUGAUGAUGUUAUAUGAGCAAAAAUAAUAAUAAUAAUAUUCAGCGUUUUCUGCUCUCUGACUUGUUGAUCCUAGAUUUGCUUGAUUCGGUAUGUGGUUUCCAGAUGAUAUCAUCAAGAUUGCUACAAAAGCUCUUGUAAAACUUGAGGUAUUCGGAAGCAUCUCCAGCUGCUUUCUGAAUAUCCACCAUAAAAAAUGUGGGAGCAACUUCAAACACUUCUAGAAUAAUGGAGAAAUGCACAGUCUUAUUAGCCGAAAGGCCCUCCACUCUCAUCUUAUAAUUACGAAUAUGUGUCUUAAAACCCAUUGAUUGUGCAACAACUUCCAUGCUUGAUAACACGACCCUUGCUGGCUUCUGUGAAACAAAGCGUGUGUGAUGCUUCAAAGAGUCCUUUCCACGAUCAAAUAGUGUCGCGAGGUUCAAGCCUUGAGAUUGAAUUAUCAAAUCAAAUGCAUUAAGAAUCAAUGGUCCUGUAUCCUCAUUCCCACACAAUUCAUCAGUCUUUCGUUCCUACAGUAAGCAAUCUUAUCAACAAUGGUACUAAAAGAUAGUAGGAUAUUAUACACAAAGCAUUUUGCUAAGGCAUGUGAUUGGGACACCAUCAAUUUCAAUUAGAUAUUUCACUCAUUCAAGCAUAAAGCCAAAGAAAUAAUUAGCGUGGAUACCAAACAAUAGGAGUAUCUAGGACUUCCAUUAGCCUAAAAGAUGUCAAUUAAGGAUUGUCCAAUAAAUCCAUCCAGAUAAUUACAACAUGAGUGUACAGUGAAAGCUCCAGUGAACACAAAAAUAGUUAUGAAAAUGUCUACAUUAAAAAAAAAAAAAUGAGUGUCCAAAUGCUAAAAUAGUUUAUUAUAAUUUGCAAUUGUAGUACAUUAUCUCAAGGACCAAAUGAUUCUUUCAAAAUAAAGCAAACGACAAAUGUUAGCAGUCAAUUUAGCCCGAUCUCCUAAGCAGUCAUACGGUGACUGAAGCAUUUUCCUAACACACAACUGUUCAGGAUAUAUGAUGUUCAGUAAAAGGAUCAAGGAGGAUUGGCCCUUAUCCUGCCAAUUUGUGGAUGAAAAGCAGGAGCAAUACCCAGAACAGGAGGGUUUAGUUACUGCUAGCAAAAAAAUAUUCUUGUUAAAAUAUAACUAAUAAAACACUCAAAUCGGCAAUAAACACCAAAAGCAUGAUUAAAAAGGUUCUUUUAAGUUUCAAAAAACAUGUUAUAGGAACACAUGCAGCAGUGAACCAACCUCUGGAUCAUUAAAAGCUGCAUCUACAUCAUCCAGGUUCACAUCUUCAUACUCAAUAAGUCUUGCAGGAACAUAGUCUUUGUUGAACCACUCAUCAUUCCUUACCUGUUCGAUGGUUAUACGCUGCAUGGAGAGAUAGAGCUUCUCAACCAUAUUAAUAGUUUAAAGCCAUUAUAUUUACCACAACAAUUUUGAUGGGAUUCCAAGAACCAGAAAAAGGCAAAAUUGCCAGAUAGAAGUACUAGAUCAUGACAUCAAGUACACACCAUAUAAAGAUCACAUUAGAUUCCUGCAUAUGAAAUGAUGCAAGAAUUAUCUUGAUCAGAUUUGUCAACUACAUAAAAUUGAAUUCAAAUUUCACAGAGAGAGAGAAAGAGAGAAUAAAUCCAGUUUGGUUGGGCAUAAAAAGAAAUAUCCUAAGCAAUUUUCUCUUUCCCUAUAUAUCAAUGUCAAGAUAGCUUAAGUCAUAUUGUUUGAGUUUCAAAAUUUCUGUCAUUUCAAUAGUCCUCUGAUAAGACCAAUGUCUUGUACCACAUUCAAUACUUACAGUUUCAGGUUUUGGAUCCAAAAUUCUAUGAAUCAAAGAUUUUGCUCCCAUUGGAAACCAUGAAGGGCAUGAAAACUCUGCCUUCUCGAUCUGAAGAAGACAAUUUAAAAACAAAAAAAAAUAGUCAACAAAAGGAACUCUUACAUUGAUAUAUAUGCAAAAUCAAAGCAGCAGUCUGCAUAAACUAGAAAGCAAAAGGAAUGUCCUUGAAGGGACAGCUCAAGCAAGUCAAGUUGUACUGAGACGGGCGGCCAAUUGAACAGAGAGAGAUAGAGAAUAAACAUGAGUAAUAUCAGCAUCCACUUGGAAAUGCACCUAAUGAAGGAAAGUAAUAAAUAUGGUAGACCCAAAAAAAGACAUCAGAGCUGUACAUGUGAUAUACGUUCAUGCCUUACUGUAUAAAGUGGUGAGAUCAAGUUCAUCAAAUGGAAGAUAUCCUGCCAUCAAAACGUAAAGAAUAACCCCACAGGACCAGACAUCUGCCACAGCACCAUUAUAACCUUUGUGACCGAGUACCUCAGGUGCUACAUAGUUAGGAGUUCCACAUGUUGUCCGCAGCAAGCUAACUCCUUGUUCAGGCAAUGCACUAAGACCAAAAUCUGAAAUCUUUAUAUUUCCUUGUGAAUCAAGUAGAAGAUUUUCAGGCUUUAAGUCUCUGUGGUAGACUCCUUUACUGUGGCAAUAAUCCACUCCAUCAAUAAGCUGUUGAAAGCAUCUCCUUGCUUCAGCCUCGCUAAGACGUCCAUGAUGCACUAUUUUAUCAAACAAUUCACCACCUGUAAUGAACUCCAAGAUUAUAUAAAUCUUAGUGCGGCUUGCUAAAACCUCAUGCAAUCGCACUACAUAAGGAUGUCUGACAAGCUUCAUUAUAGAUAUCUCCCUCUUGAUCUGGUCGAUCAUCUUGUGCUUGAUGAUGGUGCUGCGAUCGAGAACUUUCAUGGCAACACUCUCACCGGUCUCAGUGUUCUGCGCGAACUUUACUUUGGCGAAGGUUCCUUCGCCGAUAGUUCUCCCUAUCUCGUACUUGCCUACUUUCCUCACCACCAUCUUUUGCUCUCUUCUUCUUCUUCUUCUUGCAGAACAACCGAUUAAAAUCUUGUUUGCUUGCUUCUCAAUCAAAUCUCACCAAUGCAUUCUCUUUCUCACUUUAAAAUAGGGAAGAGAAGAUUUUCAACAAAGCAAAGGCAAAGAACAAGGAGCUUUUCACUUUUUGGAAUUUAAAAACCCACACAAGUGGAAUUUUGGAAUAUAAAUAGAAUUGUACAACAAAUUAGAGCUUGAACGCACUAAGGCUUGGAUUGUGAAGUAUUAGGUCAUAAACACACGGAAUUUUCUUGUGCAACUGAAGAUCAGUUUAAAAAAAAGGGUUGUGCUUCAAAUGAAUCUGAUAAUAUAGUUUCUCUAUGGCGGGUGGGGACACUGUAAAUUGCGGACAAUUACAAUGGUUAGAAUCGGAAAAUCAGUGUUUGGUGAGAGAACUUGGAAUUUGAGAUGGGUUUUGUUGACAAAUGGAUCUGCCAGCUAGCAUUGUUUGUUGGGCGACGACUUCAUAGUAAAA